rnacentral:lncRNA from 1 species
CAUGAACUUCCAAGUUUACCUUUCUUAUUAUCAUAUUCCUUUGAAGAGUUAGAAAGCUUUCUAAAUUUGAUUAGAUUAUUGUCGGAGUGCUUAACUCCAUUUUUCCUUAUGUACCUUUGGUACCUUUUGAUAAGUAACCCAAUAUCUUCAUCAUAAGAAUUCUUGUCAUAUCUUGCUUCACAAUCACUUUGUUCAUUGUGUGACGACUUUGAGCUUGAAGUCUUUAGAGAAAU